UGCAGUCCAUGGGCAUAUACAC
rnacentral:miRNA from 2 species